UGCCAAUGAAGAAGAUAACAGAAAAGACA
rnacentral:piRNA from 1 species